AUUGAACGCUGGCGGCAUGCUUUACACAUGCAAGUCGAACGGUAACGCGGGGCAACCUGGCGACGAGUGGCGAACGGGUGAGUAAUGCAUCGGAACGUGCCCGGUAGUGGGGGAUAACUGCUCGAAAGAGCAGCUAAUACCGCAUACGACCUGAGGGUGAAAGGGGGGGAUCGCAAGACCUCUCGCUAUUGGAGCGGCCGAUGUCGGAUUAGCUAGUUGGUGGGGUAAGGGCCCACCAAGGCGACGAUCCGUAGCUGGUCUGAGAGGACGACCAGCCACACUGGGACUGAGACACGGCCCAGACUCCUACGGGAGGCAGCAGUGGGGAAUUUUGGACAAUGGACGCAAGUCUGAUCCAGCCAUGCCGCGUGCGGGAAGAAGGCCUUCGGGUUGUAAACCGCUUUUGUCAGAGAAGAAAUCUUCUGGGUUAAUACCUCGGGAGGAUGACGGUAUCUGAAGAAUAAGCACCGGCUAACUACGUGCCAGCAGCCGCCGUAAAAC
rnacentral:rRNA from 1 species